AUCAAGAAACAGUGGUGUUAAGGUAGACAAAUAAAGUGGCGCAAUCGAAAAGAUCUCCAUUCACAGCGGACAAUUUAAGGUAGGCAGGAAAGGCUUUACAUUAAUCUUCCUUCAAAAAAUAUGAUAAUUGUAAAAACUCCCUUAGGUUCCCCGACAAAUAUUGAUGGUCCUUUUUGUACAUUGCAAAAAGCGUCAUCUUUGAAACUCCAAUCUCCUAUUUUGUCCUUG
rnacentral:lncRNA from 1 species